AGAGAGAGACAUGCGCGCAUAUCAAUAAGCGGAGGAAAAGAAACUAACUAGGAUUCCCUCAGUAACGGCGAGUGAAGCGGGAAGAGCUCAAAUUUGAAAUCUUCAAGGUUCUACCUUGACGAAUUGUAGUUUAAAGAAGUGUUUUCUGUUGGAGUUUUGGUAAAAGUUCUUUGGAAUAGGACAUCAUAGAGGGUGAGAAUCCCGUAUUUGACCAUUAUUUCCAGCUUUGUGAUACACUUUCAAAGAGUCGGAUUGUUUGGGAAUGCAGUCCAAAAUGGGUGGUAAAUUUCAUCUAAAGCUAAAUAUUGGCGAGAGACCGAUAGCGAACAAGUACCGUGAGGGAAAGAUGAAAAGAACUUUGAAAAGAGAGUUAAACAGUACGUGAAAUUGUCAAAAGGGAAGCGUUUGACACCAGUGUUGUUUUCUCGAAAAUCAAUUAAAAAAGGCAGGAUUUUGUGUUGUAUUGACUUUAUCAGCUUUCUGCACUCUUUUCUUGUCUUUUUUAAUGCACUUUUCGUUUAACAAGUCAACAUCAAUUUCUUUUGUUGUAAAAGGGUCAUUGGAAGGUGGCUUUCUUUUCGGAGAAAGUGUUUAUAGCCUUUGGCCUCUGCAAUCGGAGAGAUUGAGGUCUGCAGCGUAGAUCCUUCGGGGUUAGAUACAUUUGUGCUAAGUUAUAGCAUUUUCAUAGACAACUUGUUGACUAUGAUCAGUGCCUUGUAGCUUACUCGCUUAUGUUAUUUUACCUACGCUUAGGAUGUUGAUGUGAUACUGCGAGCA
rnacentral:rRNA from 1 species